AAUUAUUUUUAGUUAAAAAUUAAAAAAAAAAACAAAUCUUUGUAUUUUUUCAGAAGUUAAACGUCGACGGUGACGAUGAGCUUGUGAACCCUCCGAUGAUGGAGCCCUCGCAACUCCAUAAUCCCGACGAAUACUCGGCCUCUUCCACAAUUAUCACCUUCCAACGCCCAAUUCCCCUUCUUCGUGGCCCAAUUCGAGCUUCUCAAUCUGAAAAUCCCUCCGCAGGUCCGUACUUGCUUGCAUUUAGGGAUUCGCAAGCAUGGCAAUCUGGGUACGAAACAUGCGAGUCGAAGAUUAUCGAACAAUGCAAGGCCGGCGCCAGAAUCGGUUGCUCAAUAACUGCUUCCAACAAGUGCAAGCCGCCCUGGUGGGGAUUUUUGUUACGGUCGAAGAAGGGGUUGGAUUUGAAGGAGAGGGAGCAUUGCGAAGAGCGAGAAAUGGAGGCUUGUUUGGCUGCCGCUGAGGAGAAAUGUGUCGGUUUUGCGAAGGAGAAGUGUUCUAAACCGUUUAUGGAAGCUAGGAUUGUGGCGAGGAGGGGAAAGAUUACAGAGAAGGAAGCGAAGAUGUUGGUUUGUUGGGCAUCAAUAGCUAAUAAAAAUUUUGUUAUCCCUUUAAUUGACAUCAGACGAAAUCUUUCUGGAGUUGGUCUUGGGGAGACGACUUAUCGAGCUAGUGAAUUAUUCUAGACAACUACAUUUUUCUGGAAUUGGUCUUGGUGAUGGUAAUUCAAGUUAUGGAGGAUUUUGAUGGAAAACUCUGAUCAGUGGACGAGCAAGGAAUAGUUCAAACGAAGAUGAAUAAUUUAGAGGCAAGUUCCUUGCUUAUACUUAAUAAUUGGAAAUAUCCGUUCGGACGGCCAUACUUGUACAUGUACCACAAUCCGGGUCAGUUUCUUGAUUGGUCGGAAUUCAGGGAAAUCGAAAUUCAUUUCCAUGAUAUAUCUGAAGGUACGAGAUACAUGUGUGAAGAAGAUAAGUAAUCGAGAUAUAUUUGUGAAAAUACAAUAGCGUAGGCACAAUUUUGUGAAAAAAGAAUAUGCUUGUUAUUUAAAUACGAUAUGGUUCUUUUUCUCCCCCCUAUUUCCUUUAACGAAAGACCAAACUUUAGAAUAGAAAUGUGCCAUAUGAAAAGAAAAGCUCAAAAUAAAAGGCUCCUUGUAAACAGACAUUGAGAAAGAAACAUUACACUUAGCAGAGAGACGUCUCCUCCUAUGAACACUAAACACCAUGAAACAUUCUCCUAAUCCUUAAGUCAAUUCAGACCUCCCCGUCUGGAUACUGUCGAUUUCAAAAUAGUUCCAAUGACUCUGAUCCCUUGGUAUGAGAUUUGGGUAUGUUUGCUCUAAGUGGUAACUAGAAAAUCCUUUCUCAUCAACAAGGAGGCAAUUGAAUAAGAUAUUCUUCCUAUUAAACCAACCAUUAGCAUGCAAUGAUAAAAACUAACUUCGUCAUUGUUCUUGAGGUUUUUUUUUUCUUCAACAAAUAUGAGAAUGGGAGGAUUCAAACAUUUGGCUUCUUGAUUGUGGGUUAUAUGUUUUGAUUUGUCAAGCUCUACUCAAGGCUGGUUAGUUAGUUGAUUGGUUUGCUGAAAAUUGAUGAAAAGAAUUAUGGAAAUAAAGUUUUAAGAGUUUGGGUGGAAUUUGUUGCAUUAAUUUGGAAGGUUGCAUCCUUACCACUUUGGAUUUGGAAUGAUCUCCAAGGAGACUUCUGGAUUGGGCUCAACCACUCCCACUAGGCAUAGGAGUCUUGUUAAAUUUCUUUUAUAGACCGAGUGCACGUCACGAUGAUCGAUGAAGGGAAUUAGUUGACAAUUAGUUGGAAAACAGUUUGCUUUAGUUAAUUGAUUUGGGUAGGUUUAUAUCAGUAGUUUAUUGUUGUUUUAUUAAUUAAUUAGCACCGGUUUAAUAAGCUUUAGAUGAUGUAGUUUGUCAUUAAGAAGAAACCUAGAUUGGCAUAAUUCAUGUUUGGAUUAUACCCUAAAUUAAUCAUAGAAAGCUGGAUUUAUGCUGUAUUUUGCUUGUGGGUUUAUGCUUUGUAUAAUUGAAAUCCUGAUAGCCUAACUUUAUGUACCUGUGGAAUUAAUAAAUCCAUAGGCUCGUAUCAAACAUAAAUUCAGCUUUUGAACUGCAAAUUGUAUAAAUUUAACGUGUAAUAUUGGAUUACUUCCCUUGUUUCUUAGGAUUAAUUUCAUCCCCUUUCAAUUUAUUUUUCUUGUUUAUAGAUAAUCAAACAUGAUUAAGAUUAAUACUGAGAGAAAAAGAUGAAGGGAGAUGGGAUGAAAAGGUGGAGUCACCCUUAUUAAAGCGAGACUAAAAUUGCUAGUAAAGAUGAGCAUGGUAAGAGGCCAACCCAACAAUUAUAGCUGUAUACUGUUUCAAAAAUGGAAUAUAGGUUUGCUCGAGUUCAUCAUUUGUCAAAGCCUAAAACAAGAACAAUGGUUAGACGCAACCUCUACUAAUUUCAUGCUUCCAUCUCCUCUGCACGCAUAAAAAAAAUCAUUUAAAGAAACGUAUCACGUGACACAUUUCAAUUGAGUGGUAGUCGAGCCCCACAAUAGAUGGGGCAGCCAGCGCUACCUAAGUUUUUUUUCCCUAAAACAAACAUCCACAACUGUUCAUGUUUGGGAAUAAUGGAAUAUAAAAUGCCUCCAACAACGUGGAAACAGUAUUCAUUUAUAUUUUUUGUACCCUUCUCUUUUUAAUGCUUCCUCCGAAUAAAACGAAAAUAACCCAUUAGGACAAAGUAUUCGAAUCACCCAUCCCUCAGGAGCUUUCAACUUUUAAGAUGAUAUAUAAGAUGCUGGAAUAAUAAUACUCCAAUUUCUUGAAAAUAAAUUAUUUAACCGAAUUCUUGAUUCCGAUUCGAUUUAAACUUUUGUAUAUAAUAUAUUUUAGAAAGAAAUAAUAAAUAAAAGUUUGUAGAGUUUCAAAGCAAUAAGCAUAGAGAACGGGAUCUCAAAAGCAUCAAAACCUCUUUGGAUAAGAGAAGUUCUGUCACUCAAAACCCUAACAGUAACAUCAGUCGAGAGAUUCCCAGAGCAGAGACCCAAGCAUUUAUUCCACUCGGAAUUGCAAGUGCAGAUCUGCUUCAUACCCCAUUUUUAGCCAAAUCUCAAGAAUCUCCAUUGCUCUCUCUCCACAACUCUUUCUACAAAAUAAGUAUAUUAUUGUCCAUGACAGGAUCAAAUUAAGCCAACCUGCAAGACAAGAGAGAGAGAGAGAAAAAAAAAAGUGUCUUUCCUAUACAGGAAGUUGUUAAGGUGAAUUGGACGAAACACUGCAAGAAGAAAUGAAAAGAGUUUAGGUUCAUCCAUAAUAGAGCCACCUAUACUUAAGAUUAAUAUCCUAUGUGUUUUUCAUGGCAUCCAAAUGUUGUAGGGUCAAACAGAUUAUCUCGUGAGAUUAUCGAGAUGCACACAAACUGAUCCAAAAAGAAAAUAAAAAAAGAAUAAAAAGAAAUGAAAAGAGUUUAUCCAUAAAUGGUUGGUUAAUGUAGAAGAAUUUGCUAAAAUAAAUUGAACUCAGCAAGGAAGAAAAAAUGGGGUAGUGGUUAAAACUAGUAAAAUUGAAGCUCUGCAGCCAAAAGGAGCUGUUUGGUAGUGUUGGAAUUAGAAGAUAGAAAGUGGGUUAGGCUUCUAUAAUAGGGAGAAUAAGAGGAAUAAUGGAAUGGUGGUUUAGUUUAGUUUUCUCGUGAUACCAUCAAAAGGUGAAGCUACCAUAUGAUCUGAUCUUUCCUUGCUUGUGUGAAGAGAGCAAGAAGAAGUUUAGAUCAUGCUGGCAGCUUCAACUGCUGGUGAUACACGGCAAAUGAGAAGGAGAAAAAUAGAGAAAUAAAGAGUUUGUGUUAUAAUUUGGAGGAAGAUGAAGGGUAUUGGUAAGGGAUAUAAAUAGAGAGGGGGAAGUAAAGUGAUUGUCUCAAUUUUUGUUGUUGAAUUAUGUUGUAUUGUAAGGGUUUGGAAAAAAGCUGAUGAAUAUGAUAAACUAAAUAAUGAAGAAAAACCAGAUGGCAGACUGGCAGUGGUCCAAAGGUAAGACAAAAUUGAAUAUUGUGAAGCCCCACGCCAUUCACCAGCAGACAAGCUAGUGAGUAGCUCUAAAAUUUUACCCGAUGACUUUUUCACUUUAUGCAGCUCUCUCUUUCUCUUUCUCAUUGUCUUUCUCUCUCUCUCUCUCAUUGUAAAAUCUUCCAUGAAACAGAAAAGAUUGAGACAGCAGAACACGAAGUGAGCAGUCUUUUGAGGACCAUGUGCAUGGCUUCUAACAAGCUUUCGGAGAAAGAAAGACUCGGAGCAUCUUAAACCAGCCAAAUCAUGCAUGUGACUCUCUCUCUCUCUCUCUUACUUUGUUGGUUUCUGUUUUAUAUAUUUCUUGUUGGGUAUUUCCUUAGUAGUUAGUGAGAUCUAUAUCUUCUUUUUCUUUUUUGUAUCCGUGAGUGUUCGAACUUACUCAAAAGUUGUUUGGACCUCCAACUUAAAGCUGGUGGGAUGGGUUAUUUUUUAUUUUUGAUGAAGAAAACUACUUUCAUUGAGAAAAAAAAUGAAAGAAUACAAGGACAAGAAAGGACCACCAUCUACAAAAAGGAUUUCCAACUAUGCAAAAUAACUCAUGUAGAGAAGUUACAAAAAGCCUUGGAAGCCGAAACGCACAAGAAACAUGAAAGCAGAUGAGAGGGUCCUUCUCCACCCCUCUAAAGACUACUAUUGCACUUCAUGUUUUGGACGGAUUAUUAUAACCCACUUCAUGUUUGGGGAUCCAAAUAUAAUAGUGGUGUUUACAACUAUUUAUAAUUUACAAUUAACUAUAGUAAUACUGUUUGAAAUCCCUCUUUAUUAUAGUGUAUUUCUUACUUAGACUAA